rnacentral:rRNA from 1 species
GCCAGAAAGAAAGCACCCGGCUUAAAUUCCGUGCCCAGCAAGCCCGCGGUAAUACGGAGGGGUGGGGAGCGUUUAAUUGGGAAUUACUUGGGGCGUAAAAGCGCCAUGCAAGGUGGUUUUGUUAAGUCAGAAUGUGAAAGCCCCGGGGCUCAACCUUCGGAAUUGCAUUUUGAAACUGGCAAAACUAGAGUACUGUAGAGGGGGGGUAGAAUUUUCAGGUGUAGCGGUGAAAUGCGUAGAGAUCUGAAGGAAUACCGGUGGCGAAGGCGGCCCCCUGGACAGAUACUGACACUCAGAUGCGAAAGCGUGGGGAGCAAACAGGAUUAGAUACCCUGGUAGUCCACGCCGUAAACGAUGUCUACUUGGAGGUUGUGGCCUUGAGCCGUGGCUUUCGGAGCUAACGCGUUAAGUAGACCGCCUGGGGAGUACGGUCGCAAGAUUAAAACUCAAAUGAAUUGACGGGGGCCCGCACAAGCGGUGGAGCAUGUGGUUUAAUUCGAUGCAACGCGAAGAACCUUACCUACUCUUGACAUCUACAGAAGCCAGCGGAGACGCAGGUGUGCCUUCGGGAACUGUAAGACAGGUGCUGCAUGGCUGUCGUCAGCUCGUGUUGUGAAAUGUUGGGUUAAGUCCCGCAACGAGCGCAACCCUUAUCCUUGUUUGCCAGCACUUCGGGUGGGAACUCCAGGGAGACUGCCGGUGAUAAACCGGAGGAAGGUGGGGACGACGUCAAGUCAUCAUGGCCCUUACGAGUAGGGCUACACACGUGCUACAAUGGCGCAUACAGAGGGCGGCCAACUUGCGAAAGUGAGCGAAUCCCAAAAAGUGCGUCGUAGUCCGGAUUGGAGUCUGCAACUCGACUCCAUGAAGUCGGAAUCGCUAGUAAUCGUGGAUCAGAAUGCCACGGUGAAUACGUUCCCGGGCCUUGUACACACCGCCCGUCACACCAUGGGAGUGGGCUGCAAAAGAAGUGGGUAGUUUAACCUUCGGGAGGACGCUCACCACUUUGUGGUUCAUGACUGGGGUGAAGUCGUAACAAGGUAACCG